AACGAACGCUGGCGGCAGGCUUAACACAUGCAAGUCGAACGCCCCGCAAGGGGAGUGGCAGACGGGUGAGUAACGCGUGGGAACAUACCCUUUCCUGCGGAAUAGCUCCGGGGAACUGGAAUUAUUACCGCAUACGCCCUACGGGGGAAAGAUUUAUUGGGGAAGGAUUGGCCCGCGUUGGAUUAGCUAGUUGGGGGGGUAAAGGCCGACCAAGGCGACGAUCCAUUGCUGGUCUGAGAGGAUGAUCAUACACAUUGGGACUGGGACACGGCCCAGACGCCUACGGGGGGCAGCAGGGGGGAAUAGUGGACAAUGGGCGCAAGCCUGAUGCAGCCAUGCCGCGUGAGUGAUGAAGGCCUUAGGGUUGUAAAGCUCUUUCACCGAUGAAGAUAAUGACGGUAGUCGGAGAAGAAGCCCCGGCUAACUUCGUGCCAGCAGCCGCAGUAAAAC
rnacentral:rRNA from 1 species